rnacentral:rRNA from 1 species
AGGAGAGUUUGAUCCUGGCUCAGGAUGAACGCUGGCGGCGUGCCUAACACAUGCAAGUCGAACGAAGCACCUUUUCACGAUCCCUUCGGGGUGACGAGAUUGUGACUGAGUGGCGGACGGGUGAGUAACGCGUGGGGAACCUGCCCUAUACCGGGGGAUAGCGACUGGAAACGGUCGAUAAUACCGCAUAAGCGCACAGCAUCACAUGAUGCAGUGUGAAAAACUCCGGUGGUAUAGGAUGGCCCCGCGUCUGAUUAGUUAGUUGGUGAGGUAAUGGCUCACCAAGACGAAGAUCAGUAGCCGACCUGAGAGGGUGACCGGCCACAUUGGGACUGAGACACGGCCCAGACUCCUACGGGAGGCAGCAGUGGGGAAUAUUGCACAAUGGGCGAAAGCCUGAUGCAGCGACGCCGCGUGAGUGAUGAAGUAUUUCGGUAUGUAAAGCUCUAUCAGCAGGGAAGAAAAUGACGGUACCUGACUAAGAAGCUCCGGCUAAAUACGUGCCAGCAGCCGCGGUAAUACGUAUGGAGCAAGCGUUAUCCGGAUUUACUGGGUGUAAAGGGAGUGUAGGCGGCAUAGUAAGUCUGAUGUGAAAACUCAGGGCUCAACCUUGAGACUGCAUUGGAAACUGCUAAGCUAGAGUGUCGGAGAGGUAAGCGGAAUUCCUGGUGUAGCAGUGAAAUGCGUAGAUAUCAGGAAGAACAUCGGUGGCGAAGGCGGCUUACUGGACGAUAACUGACGCUGAGGCUCGAAAGCGUGGGGAGCGAACAGGAUUAGAUACCCUGGUAGUCCCCU